rnacentral:rRNA from 1 species
AUUGCUAUUGCAAACAUCUACGCUCCAUCAUCAUGAUCGCUCAAGCAAGCUUUUUUAAAUGAAUUCUCAUCCAUCUCACAACUCGACGACACCCCCUGGAUUAUCGCUGGUGAUUUUAACCUCAUCUGCUUUCCGUCUGAGAAAAACAACCCUGCGUUCCAUCACGCUGAAGCCACUGCCUUUAACCAAACCUUGGAUGAUCUAGCCCUCAUCGAACUGCCCCUACUUGAUCGGAGGUUUACCUGGUCGAACAAUCGAGCUACUCCCACCUUAGAACGACUAGAUCGGGUCUUCUUUAAUGUCGCUUGGGCGGACGCCUUCCCUAACACUUCUUUGUCCUUUCGCACAUGCUUCAUAUCUGAUCACGUCCCACUCCUCAUCCAUGUCACCACCACCAUCCCACAUUCCAAUUUUUUCAAAUUUGAGCCGGGCUGGGCCAGUUUCCGGCCCUGCGGCGACAUCAUCAACCAAAUUUGGGCCUCACUGCCCUCACCACCUUCCAACGCUGCCGCUUCCCUCAUCGUCGCGCUAAAAAAAUCUCGUACCCACCACAAAAAAUGGCGCGCUCGCGCAUUCCCACCCCCUCCGCGAAGCUCGAUGCCACGCUGCUAUCUCUGCCCUAGAUCUCAUGGAGGAAAACAGACCUCUAUCUCCAUCAGAAUCUCUCACGCGCAAAAUAACCGUCUCCAUACUCAAAUGCACCAUCGAGGAAAAAAUGUCUUACUGGCGUUGGCUUUCUAA